UACGUAGGGUGCAAGCGUUGUCCGGAAUUAUUGGGCGUAAAGAGCUCGUAGGCGGCUUGUCGCGUCGUCUGUGAAAUCCCGCGGCUCAACCGCGGGUCUGCAGUCGAUACGGGCAGGCUAGAGUUCGGUAGGGGAGACUGGAAUUCCUGGUGUAGCGGUGAAAUGCGCAGAUAUUAGGAGGAACACCGGUGGCGAAGGCGGGUCUCUGGGCCGAUACUGACGCUGAGGCACGAAAGCGUGGGGAGCAAACAGG
rnacentral:rRNA from 1 species